rnacentral:rRNA from 1 species
GACGAACGCUGGCGGCGCGCCUAACACAUGCAAGUCGAACGGACGACAGGAGCUUGCUCCUGAAGUUAGUGGCGGACGGGUGAGUAACACGUGAGCAACCUGCCUUUCAGAGGGGGACAACAGUUGGAAACGACUGCUAAUACCGCAUAACGUUGCGAGGAGGCAUCUCCAUGCAACCAAAGAUUUAUCGCUGAAAGAUGGGCUCGCGUCUGAUUAGAUAGUUGGUGAGGUAACGGCCCACCAAGUCGACGAUCAGUAGCCGGACUGAGAGGUUGAACGGCCACAUUGGGACUGAGAGGCGGUCCAAACUCC